rnacentral:rRNA from 1 species
CCUACGGGUGGCAGCAGUGAGGAAUAUUGGUCAAUGGGCUUACGCCUGAACCAGCCAAAUCGCGUGAGGGAAGACUGCCCUAUGGGUUGUAAACCUCUUUUGUCAGGGAGCAAUUGGCGCUACGUGUAGCGUUAUCGAGAGUACCUGCAGAAAAAGCAUCUGCUAACUCCGUGCCAGCAGCCGCGGUAAUACGUAGGAUGCGAGCGUUAUCCGGAUUUAUUUGGUUUAAAGGGUGCGUAGGCGGAAUGCCAAGUCAGCGGUAAAAUCGCGGGGCUCAACCUCGCUCCGCCGUUGAAACUUGCGUACUAGAGUGAGAGAGAGGUAAGCGGAAUGCGAGGUGAAGCGGUGAAAUGCAUAGAUAUCACGAAGAACACCGAAGGCGAAGGCAGCAUACUGGGGCCAAACUGACGCUGAAGGACGAAAGCGUGGGUAGCGAACAGGAUUAGAUACCCCAGUAGUC